GACGAACGCUGGCGGCGUGCCUAAUACAUGCAAGUAGAACGCACAGUUUAUACCGUAGCUUGCUACACCAUAGACUGUGAGUUGCGAACGGGUGAGUAACGCGUAGGUAACCUGCCUGGUAGCGGGGGAUAACUAUUGGAAACGAUAGCUAAUACCGCAUAAUAUUAAUUAUUGCAUGAUAAUUAAUUGAAAGGUGCAAUUGCACCACUACCAGAUGGUCCUGCGUUGUAUUAGCUAGUAGGGGAGGUAACGGCUCACCUAAGCGACGAUACAUAGCCGACGUGAGAGGGUGAACGGCCACACUGGGACUGGGACACGGCCCAGAACCCUACGGGGGGCCGCAGGAGGGAAACUUUGGAAAUGGAGGAAAGGCUGAACGAGCAACGCCGCGGGAGGGAAGGAGGGUCUCGGAUCGUAAAGCUCGGUUGUAAGAGAAGAACGGGUGUGAGAGUGGAAAGUUCACACUGUGACGGUAUCUUAACAGAAAGGGACGGCUAACUACGUG
rnacentral:rRNA from 1 species